rnacentral:rRNA from 1 species
CCUACGGGAGGCAGCAGUGGGGAAUAUUGCACAAUGGGCGCAAGCCUGAUGCAGCGACGCCGCGUGAGGGAUGACGGCCUUCGGGUUGUAAACCUCUUUCAGUAGGGAAGAAGCGAAAGUGACGGUACCUGCAGAGAAGCGCCGGCUAACUACGUGCCAGCAGCCGCGGUAAUACGUAGGGCGCAAGCGUUAUCCGGAAUUAUUGGGCGUAAAGAGCUCGUAGGCGGUUUGUCGCGUCUGCCGUGAAAGUCCGGGGCUCAACUCCGGAUCUGCGGUGGGUACGGGCAGACUAGAGUGAUGUAGGGGAGACUGGAAUUCCUGGUGUAGCGGUGAAAUGCGCAGAUAUCAGGAGGAACACCGAUGGCGAAGGCAGGUCUCUGGGCAUUAACUGACGCUGAGGAGCGAAAGCAUGGGGAGCGAACAGGAUUAGAUACCCUGGUAGUCCAUGCCGUAAACGUUGGGCACUAGGUGUGGGGGACAUUCCACGUUUUCCGCGCCGUAGCUAACGCAUUAAGUGCCCGCCUGGGGAGUACGGCCGCAAGGCUAAAACUCAAAUGAAUUGACGG